rnacentral:rRNA from 1 species
AUGUCGCUGAGGAGACGUGAUCUCCGAGCAGCCCUUCUCAUAGCUCGCAGUCCAGGUCGAUGCCAAAUUCAACUUCCAGGAGGCUUUUUGUGCUGUGGCUGCAACGUUAAGCAUUUGAAUGGAGCACAUAUAGGCAUGCCCCGGUUCAUUUUAGAGUCACUUGGUUGUUUGAUGCGUUCGUGCUCGUCGGCGGGACGGUGCAAGGCGCAACUCCGACGCGGUUCCUCGCCGGUUGGAUGGCAUUCAGGCGCAACCCCGGCGCGCACUGAGUACUGCCUUGGCUAUAACCUCCCUCGAAAUUCAGUUCAUAUGAAAGAAAAGAAAGGCAUGCAGUACCUGGCAUUGACAUUGGGAGCAUGGGCUACUGCUCGCACCUCUACCUACAGCUUACAGGUUCCUUCCUUUCUCUAUAUGGUGGCCUGGGAAGGAAGAUUUUUGUUUACUCAUUCAGGUGUUGUCAAAUGCUCCAGAAUUUUAUUAACUCAUAUGAGUGUUUUCAAAUGCUCUAGAUAUUAUAUAGUCCGUUCUACAGGGUGUUGUUUGGGUGAUUUAGUUGGAGAAAAUAAUCUCUACCUACAGCUACAUUAA